rnacentral:rRNA from 1 species
GACGAACGCUGGCGGCGUGCUUAACACAUGCAAGUCGAACGGAAAGGCCCUGCUUUUGUGGGGUGCUCGAGUGGCGAACGGGUGAGUAACAAGUGAGUAACCUGCCCUUGACUUUGGGAUAACUUCAGGAAACUGGGGCUAAUACCGGAUAGGAGCUCCUGCUGCAUGGUGGGGGAUGGAAAGUUUCGGCGGUUGGGGAUGGACUCGCGGCAUAUCAGCUUGUUGGUGGGGUAGUGGCUUACCAAGGCUUUGACGGGUAGCCGGCCUGAGAGGGUGACCGGCCACAUUAGGACUGAGAUACGGCCCAGACUCCUACGGGAGGCAGCAGUGCGGAAUAGUGCACAAUGGGCGGAAGCCUGAUGCAGCAACGCCGCGUGCGGGAUGACGGCCUUCGGGUUGUAAACCGCUUUCGCCUGUGACGAAGCGUGAGUGACGGUAAUGGGUAAAAAAGCACCGGCUAACUACGUG